UAAACACUCUAAAUGAGCCGGACUGAACACCACACAAAAUUUAUUUAACUCUUGAAAAGAAUGAAUAAUAAAGUAAGAAACUACAAAAUCAUUCUCUCAAAAACAUAAACCCUCCAUCCCUCAAAAUGCCUAACCCUAAUUUCAUUUGAGAAACGUAGAAGUCUAUUCAGACCCAUCACCGGUGGUCCUUUUGGUAGGUCUUCCCUCUAUUCUCUUCAUCUCCAUGGUUGUACCCUUUCGUUAUUUCUGGACCUAGCAGAAAACCCAUCACCGGCAAACUUGGUUUCUAUUAGCGAAAUGUGAGUUUCUGACCUAUCCAUGUUCUCCGGUGUGCACACUUGACCAUGUGCCCUAGAACUGCCCGAGAUCCUAUCUUGCAUACCAAAAUUAAUUUCCCGGAGACUGUCAAUGCUUGGCUACUAGCUGAGGAAUUUAGCUACAAUAUUAUGGAUGGGAUAUCAAUUGAUAGACCACUUCGAUUUAUAGCAACAAGCCAUGAACUUUGAUGCUCUGUGUGCUAAGCUCUAGCUUCUACCUCGGUGAUUUUUUAUUUUGUCAGUUUUAGGAUCAAACCUGAGUUCCCAUGUUGGCCAGUAGUGCAAAUCUUGCUCCAAUGUGAGCACUCAGGGCUUCCCAUUCAGGUGGACUAUUCGUACACGAACAAACUCUCCAUUCUCUAUUGCUGCUAGUAAGGAACUUUAUAGAAUUUCAGUUUAUAGAGGAUAGCACAAACUCUCCAUUCUCCAUUCUCUAGAGUGUGAUGGUUUUUGUUUAUUUGUUUGGAUAAGUAGAAUGUGAUGGAUUGUUGUUUCAUGGAUCUUAAUUGUUGACUGUACUUGACUGAAUGACAGUAGACCCUGCAAGAAAAUUAUCGGUUUUUAACAUUAUUUUGAAAUGCCAUUUACUUUGUAAUUUUGAAACACAAAAAAUAUAUUUUUUACAACUCUGCCAUGUGAUAGCCAUCACAAAAAUUUGCUCAUGGCUGACUUUUUGUAUAUCAAACAGUUUAGUUUAAUAUGAAGUGACACUGAUUAUGGAUCUCAAAAUCUUGUGUGGUUAAGAAUUAAGCACUAGCUUUAAACUUCUGUUAUUUAAUCUUUCCGUCCCUUGAAAGAUAUUGGAUUCAAGUCUGUGGCAUGGAUUUAAUGCUGCCUCUAAUUCUUUAAAAGUGUAAGUAGCAGCGUAAGGUGAUGGGGUAUUUUCGGUCACGUGUUCCUACAACUCACUCUAAUGGUACUACCCAGCCAGAUCUUUGGCCAUUGAAGUCCAUAUGGAAGAGUAAAGUUCAUGUAAGCAUAUGGAAGAGUAAAGCUCAUUUUCUCAGCUCCUUGCGGCUAAACACUCUCAACUCCUUGUGUUAAAACACUCUCCUUCAUAUUCCAGGAUUUGGAGACUACAGUUUACAAGACAAUAUGUGCUAGGUUUGAAGACUUCAAACAAGCUGACGAUUUGUUUAUCAUGUUAAUAGGAUUAUUAGAUCAGAAAUUAUAUUCGGAUGUUUGUUUUCCCCCAAGGGGUGGGUAUACAACUGUGUGACUUAUAUAUCAUGGUUAUACAGUGCCACUAGUCGGAUGUUAAUCCAUUAUUUGUAACUAAUUAAAGACUAUAUUUAUGACAGCGGGAUAUUAUUGCUUAUUU